UACGUAGGGUGCGAGCGUUGUCCGGAAUUAUUGGGCGUAAAGGGCUCGUAGGCGGUUUGUCGCGUCGGGAGUGAAAACUCAGGGCUUAACCCUGAGCCUGCUUCCGAUACGGGCAGACUAGAGGUAUGCAGAGGAGAACGGAAUUCCUGGUGUAGCGGUGAAAUGCGCAGAUAUCAGGAGGAACACCGGUGGCGAAGGCGGUUCUCUGGGCAUUACCUGACGCUGAGGAGCGAAAGUGUGGGGAGCGAACAGG
rnacentral:rRNA from 1 species